AGACGUCUACAUUAGAUACCCCGGUAGUCCCAGCCGUAAACUAUGCGCGUUAGGUGUAUCGGUGACCACGAGUCACCGAGGUGCCGAAGGGAAACCGUGAAACGUGCCGCCUGGGAAGUACGGUCGCAAGGCUGAAACUUAAAGGAAUUGGCGGGAAGCACCACAACGGGUGGAGCCUGCGGUUUAAUUGGACUCAACGCCGGGAAGCUCACCGGAUAAGACAGCAGAAUGAUUGCCGGGCUGAAGACUCUGCAUGACUAGCUG
rnacentral:rRNA from 1 species